CCUCUCAUGGCGUAGGGGUAACGCGCCCUAACUAGAGAUCGGGGAGUCGUGAGUUCGAUUCUCACUGAGAAGA
rfam:Aedes aegypti strain Liverpool supercont1.628 genomic scaffold, whole genome shotgun sequence.